rnacentral:rRNA from 1 species
AUGGCGCUGGAGACGCGGAAGCUCUACGUCGGCGGCCUCCCGCCGUCGGCGCAACAGGAAGAACUCCAGGAGCACUUCGGCCGCUACGGCGAGGUGCUGCGCGUCCGUGUCGUCCGCGACUGGGAGACGGGCCAGUGCCGCGGCUUCGCGUUCGUCGAGUUUGCCGACGACGAGGGCCCGCGCGCCGCGCUCCAGGAGAAGGAGAAGGCCAACCAUGUCUUCGGCGACCGCACGGUGGAUGUUAAACGAGCUCGAACCAGGCCAAUGCGAUACCAAAAUGAGCAAUCAUUCUACCAAUACGCUUUAAAUCAGAGCCCAAUUCAGAGCCCAGUUCACAACCAGUGGUACACUCAGUCUUCUAGUAACAACUCAUAUGCUGGUAAUGGUCAUAGAAGUUGUGAUCCAAACAAGGUCUUUGUUGGUGGGCUACGAGGUAAUGUUACCAAGGAGCACCUCCAGAGCUAUUUUGAGAAGUUUGGCAGAAUAACAGAUGUUGUUGUGAUACGUGAGGGGGCUAGUCAGAGAUCACGAGGCUUUGGUUUCAUUACAUUUGAUUCAGAGGAGGCUAUGGUAAAUGUCUUGGAGAGUAAAUUCCAUGAUUUGAACGGUACAAAGGUUGAAACUAAGAGAGCUAUUCCCAAGGGUCAUAGCUACUACCAGGAUACGCGACAAUAUAAUCCUAUGAUAUGGGAUGGCAACAAUCCUCCCAUUGGCUUUGCUGGAGCAUACCCACCUCACAUGCAGCAUAUUGUUAAUAAUCAUUAUGUGAUGCCUAUGCCACAAUACAUGUGCUUACCAGAGUAUGUCUACAUGAUGAAUGGAGGAGUCCCCUUGACAAGGCAAGGUUCACUCUAUACAGGCUAUGGAACAAUUGGGUAUGGGUAUGAUCACGUGAAUACAAAUCGUUUUGGUGCUCAACUUGGGGAAGCUAAAAGUGAUAACAAACUGAUUGAAGACAUAAAAGAGCAACAAGUGGACCUACCAGCUACCAGGCAAGAAACUUUGGGCAUGGAUGACCAGGCUACUGUUACAACAUUGUAA